AGUUCCUUACCUGGGAAAGGCACCCCACUGAUCACUCCAGGCUCUACAAACUGAACACAGGACCAAGUUGGAGGCAGACUUUGCCAACCUCCCCGUUCCUCCCUUCUAAAAGACCUCCCCUUCCAGGAUGGCGUCCAUAACACACACUGAUGUCUUCAGUAACAGGGAAGGGUGACCAACGCUUACUUUAUAAUAAAGUCUAUUGCUGUUCCUUUA